AGACUUUGAUCAUGGCUCAGGACGAACGCUGGCGGCGUGCUUAACACAUGCAAGUCGAACGGUCUACCUCGACAGAAACCUUCGGGUUGAAGACGAGAUCUAGAUAGUGGCGGACGGGUGAGUAACACGUGAAUAAUCUAUCCUCAAGUUUGGGAUAACCUGGCGAAAGUCGGGCUAAUCCGAGGUAAGCUGAGAGUGUGGCAUCACACAAUCAGAAAAGGUGGCAUUGCCAUCGUUUGAGGAGGAGUUCGCGGUAGAUUAGCUAGCUGGUGAGGUAACGGCUCACCAGGGCAACAAUCUAUAGCUGGUCUGAGAGGACGAUCAGUCACACUGGAACUGAGACACGGUCCAGACUCCUACGGGAGGCAGCAGUGGGGAAUCUUCCACAAUGGGCGCAAGCCUGAUGGAGCAACGCCGCGUGAAUGAAGAAGGCCUUAGGGUCGUAAAGUUCUGUCCUUAGGGAAGAACCGUGGGUAUAGCAAAUGAUACCCACCUGACGGUACCUUUGGAGGAAGCACUGGCUAACUACGUGCCAGCAGCCGCGGUAAUACGUAGAGUGCAAGCGUUGUCCGGAAUUAUUGGGCGUAAAGGGUACGCAGGCGGAUAGUAAAGUCAAGCGUGAAACGGUGUCGGCUUAACCGACAGACUGCGUUUGAAACUGAUUAUCUUGAGUGUAACAGAGGAGAGUGGAAUUCCUAGUGUAGUGGUGAAAUACGUAGAUAUUAGGAAGAACACCAAGUGGC
rnacentral:rRNA from 1 species